CGGUUUUCAAGAUGGCGGCGCCCACGGACGGACGGACGGCAGAAGACCGGAGCCUUUUUUCAGAUAAAAAAUGCUCUCUACAACGGGGAAAAAAGCUGAAUGGGGAGCUUUGGCAUACGGAGCCUCGUUUUUCAACAUGGACAAGCUGCCGACGGGCGAAAGACGAGCUUCCUGCUGAGGACCCAGCUGCCCUGCUCUACCUCAAGACGGGGGCAUCUGCAACCCACAGUUCGUGGUUUACCAGCUGAAAGUGAAGAUCCACACAUCGAACCCGGCACACACCCGCCGCGAGGACAACCUCUCCUUUCCUUGGGAGGGGGUCAGCAGUGUCUCUGUCAACUAAAUGUGAUACAGAAAACCCGGAUCCUGACUGAGAGCUGCUGCACAUCUUACAGUG
ensembl:lncRNA